ACCCACCAAAUGACUCCUCCCAAAAUAUUAUGAUAUUCCCCAAGUUUUGGACUCAAUCCGUUAUCGUUUGGUCAAUGAAAUUGGACAAUUCAGGUUCGUACGAAGUUCGUUCUGAAAUGGGGUGGUUGGUGUAUUGUAUAGUUCUAGAGAUUGGAUUUCACUCAAAACCCACCAAAAGACUCCUCCCAAAAUAUUAUGAUGUUCCCCAAGUUUUGGACUCAAUCCGUUAUCGAUUGGUCAAUGAAAUCGAACAAUUCAGGUUCGUACGAUGUUCGUUCUGAAAUGGGGUGGUUGGUGUAUUGUAUAGUUCUAGAGAUUGGAUUUCACUCAAAACCCACCAAAACACUCCUCCCAAAAUAUUAUGAUAUUCCCCAAGUUUUGGACUCAAUCCGUUAUCGUUUGGUCAAUGAAAUUGGACAAUUCAGGUUCGUACGAAGUUCGUUCUGAAAUGGGGUGGUUGGUGUAUUGUAUAGUUCUAGAGAUUGGAUUUCACUCAAAACCCACC
rnacentral:lncRNA from 1 species